UACUUACUAUGAUAAGUUAUAUAAAAUUUUUAGAAAAAAAUAUAAAAAAUAUGCAGUUACUAGAAAAACAGAUAAAAAUAAAUAUAGAUAAAUACAUGGAAAACAAAGAUAUAAAAUUUCUUAAUAAAAAUAUGCAAAAACUACUAAGACUAAAACAAACAGCUACAAAACAAUUUUAAAAAUAGAUCAUUUAGAUUAUCUUAAAGUUUUAAUAUUAUAUAUACUUAAAAACAUAGAAAUUAUAGAUAUUAAGAAAAUAAUAUUAGAAAAAGUAAUAGACUACGAAAUUGAAAACUAUAAAUUACCUAGAACAGUUAUACGAAGAAAUUUACCCAGAAGGAUAUUAUUCAAAUUAAGAUAUGUUAGAAUAUAUUAGACAAACUAGAGAAAAUCAAGAAAAUCUAAAUAAUGAAAUUAAUUAUAGAAACCGAAUUAGACAAAUAAUGAAAGACCUAAAAGAAAAAUUAAUAUGGAUAGAAAAACCCUUAGAAAAUUUAGAUAAAAGUACAUGUGAUAGUUUAUAUAAUUUAAAA
rnacentral:lncRNA from 1 species